UACAGAGGUCUCAAGCGUUGUUCGGAUUCAUUGGGCGUAAAGGGUGCGUAGGCGGCGCGGUAAGUCGGGUGUGAAAUCUCGGGGCUUAACUCCGAAACUGCAUUCGAUACUGCCGUGCUUGAGGACUGGAGAGGAGACUGGAAUUUACGGUGUAGCGGUGAAAUGCGUAGAUAUCGCUUGGAACGCCGACGGUGAAAACAGUCUGCUGGGGGUGUGCUGACGCUGAGACACGAAAGCCAGGGGAGCGAACGGG
rnacentral:rRNA from 1 species